UUUUAUGGCGGUUGUGCGCGGGACACCUUCGGGUGUGCUGGGUUACUCAGUCCCCGGUCUUCCACACCCUCGCACAACUGCCACCCCU
rnacentral:antisense_RNA from 1 species